ACUCCUACGGGAGGCAGCAGUGGGGAAGUAUUGCACAAUGGGCGCAAGCCUGAUGCAGCCAUGCCGCGUGAGUGAUGAAGGCCUUAGGGUCGUAAAGCUCUUUCGCCAGGGAUGAUAAUGACAGUACCUGGUAAAGAAACCCGGCUAACUCCGUGCCAGCAGCCGCGGUAAUACGGAGGGGGUUAGCGUUGUUCGGAAUUACUGGGCGUAAAGCGCGCGUAGGCGGGUUGUUAAGUUAGAGGUGAAAUCCCGGGGCUCAACCCCGGAACUGCCUUUAAUACUGGCAACCUAGAGUUCGAGAGAGGUGAGUGGAAUUCCGAGUGUAGAGGUGAAAUUCGUAGAUAUUCGGAGGAACACCAGUGGCGAAGGCGGCUCACUGGCUCGAUACUGACGCUGAGGUGCGAAAGUGUGGGGAGCAAACAGGAUUAGAUACCCUGGUAGCGACUGA
rnacentral:rRNA from 1 species